AUUGAACGCUGGCGGCAUGCCUUACACAUGCAAGUCGAACGGUAACAGGUCUUUCGGGGUGCUGACGAGUGGCGAACGGGUGAGUAAUACAUCGGAACGUGCCUAGUAGUGGGGGAUAACUACUCGAAAGAGUGGCUAAUACCGCAUGAGAUCUAUGGAUGAAAGCAGGGGACCUUCGGGCCUUGUGCUACUAGAGCGGCCGAUGGCAGAUUAGGUAGUUGGUGGGAUAAAAGCUUACCAAGCCUACGAUCUGUAGCUGGUCUGAGAGGACGAUCAGCCACACUGGGACUGAGACACGGCCCAGACUCCUACGGGAGGCAGCAUUGGGGAAUUUUGGACAAUGGGCGCAAGCCUGAUCCAGCAAUGCCGCGUGCAGGAUGAAGGCCUUCGGGUUGUAAACUGCUUUUGUACGGAACGAAAAGACUCUGGUUAAUACCUGGGGUCCAUGACGGUACCGUAAGAAUAAGCACCGGCUAACUACGUGCCAGCAGCCGCCGUAAAAC
rnacentral:rRNA from 1 species